rnacentral:rRNA from 1 species
UACAGAGGUCUCAAGCGUUGUUCGGAAUCACUGGGCGUAAAGGGUGCGUAGGUGGCGUGGUAAGUCAGAUGUGAAAGCCCGGGGCUCAACCUCGGAAUUGCAUCCGAUACUACCAUGCUAGAGUACUGAAGAGGUGACUAGAAUUCUCGGUGUAGCAGUGAAAUGCGUAGAUAUCGAGAGGAAUACCAACGGCGAAGGCA